rnacentral:snoRNA from 1 species
AUUCAUAAGGGUGAUGACAUGUGUCUGUAUGAGUUGUGCCUCCCUCAAAUCUUGUUGCAAUGUCAGCAUGUUAAGCAUCUGACA